UAGCUGUUUAAUGGGUAACGGUAUUGACCCGGACACUACCUUCUCUGCGUGCCGGUAUAGUAGUCCUUUGUCCCAGAUAUAUCUUUCCCCCUCUAACCCUGCUUGAUCUUUAUCAAUGCGGUCUUUAUAUACCUGUAACGAGGGAUCUAGGGCCACUUCUGACCCAAACUCUAUAGAAUUGGCCCAUGGCAUGACAGGGGGUAGGGGAGGGUCAUUGCUUACCUGAGCCUCAGAGUGAUCGGAUGGCGCUGUGGUGCGGGCCUGUUGUCGGGUCACAACCGGGUAUGCUUCUUGUAUGGUGGGC